rnacentral:rRNA from 1 species
UACAGAGGUCCCAAGCGUUGUUCGGAUUCAUUGGGCGUAAAGGGUGCGUAGGUGGCGUUGUAAGUCGGGUGUGAAAUUUCGGAGCUUAACUCCGAAACUGCAUUCGAUACUGCGGUGCUUGAGGACUGGAGAGGAGACUGGAAUUCAUGGUGUAGCAGUGAAAUGCGUAGAGAUCAUGAGGAAGACCAGUGGCGAAGGCGGGUCUCUGGACAGUUCCUGACGCUGAGGCGCGAAGGCGUGGGGAGCGAACGGG